UACGUAGGUGGCAAGCGUUGUCCGGAAUUAUUGGGCGUAAAGAGCGCGCAGGCGGUCGAUCAAGUCGAGUGUGAAAGCCCCCGGCUCAACUGGGGAGGGUCAUUCGAUACUGAUCGACUCGAAGGCAGGAGAGGGUAGUGGAAUUCCCGGUGUAGCGGUGAAAUGCGCAGAUAUCGGGAGGAACACCGGUGGCGAAGGCGGUUCUCUGGGCCUGUACUGACGCUGAGGAGCGAAAGCGUGGGGAGCGAACAGG
rnacentral:rRNA from 1 species